rnacentral:hammerhead_ribozyme from 1 species
AUCCAGCUGACGAGUCCUUAACAAGACCAAACGCGUGUCCUGGAU